AGGCCAGUAGCUCAAUUUGGUAGAGCAGCGGUCUCCAAAACCGCAGGUUGGGGGUUCGAUUCCCUCCUGGCCUGCCA
rnacentral:tRNA from 2 species